rfam:Glycine soja cultivar W05 scaffold3572_9, whole genome shotgun sequence.
AAAUCUGGUGGUGAGGGCAACUAGCACAUAAUUUUUUAAAUCUCUCCCAGUAUUCAUAUAGGCUCUCCCCACUAAGUUGUCUAAUACUUGAAAUAUCCUUUCCAGGGAAUUU